UAAUGAUGACAGCGCGUGACCAUGAACUUGACGUUCCUCUGAGUGCUUUUGCGCAUGAGCAAGGCACGUUUUGAGACUGGUCAGCAAGCGCGGGGAAAAUGCCACGGUUUUGUGGAGGCUGCUGAAGUUGUUUUCUGCGGACUCGUACUACAUUGGGAGAAUCGAGGGAUUGUGCUAAAUCUCACGCCUUAUUGUGUUAACGUGUGCGAUCUCACGGGCUGAAGGUGGGCCAAGUUUUUGCAGCAGGAAUUGAAACCUCAAAGAAGAAGACGCGAACACAGUGGUCAAAACAGGAGGUGACAGCUGUAUUGAAACAUUUUAAAGAUCAUAUAACCAAAGGAAAACUGGCAACAAUGGCAGAGUGUCAGCAGUGCAAGUCAGCUGAGGACCCUGUUCUGGCAGGGCGCACUGUACAAAAUAUAAGAGAUUUUGUUAGAAAUAGAGGGAUCACACUUAAAAGGAAAACCAUGUCUAAUUGAAUAUAUAUAAUUUUCUAUAGAGGCAAAAAUGCCAAGGAGAAAAAGAUUGUUUAUUUCUAAUUUUUGGGGAGUAAAGAAUUUGCCCUCAUGUUAAGUUGUAAGUCUUUUGUUACAAGUUAUAAUAAAAAAAAUAAUUGUUUCUAUUAAUAUUUUAAUUUCACCUUAAUACUUGUGCAUAAGUAAUCUGCGUUUCAUUAAUCAGGAAAAAAAAAAUUUUUGUUUGUGUGCAUAUUCAAGGUCCAAUAAAACAUCACUGACCCUC